rnacentral:tRNA from 1 species
GCGCCGGUAGCUCAACGGAAAGAGCAGGGGUUUCCUAUGCCCAGGGUUGGGGGUUCGAGUCCUCUCCGGCGCGCCA